CCUACGGGAGGCAGCAGUGGGGAAUAUUGGGCAAUGGGCGCAAGCCUGACCCAGCAACGCCGCGUGAAGGAAGAAGGCUUUCGGGUUGUAAACUUCUUUUCUCAGGGACGAAGAAAGUGACGGUACCUGAGGAAUAAGCCACGGCUAACUACGUGCCAGCAGCCGCGGUAAUACGGAGGGUGCGAGCGUUCAUCGGAGUUACGUGGCGUAAGGCGCUCGUAGGCGGUAUGUCAAGUCAAGGGUGAAAUCCCCGCGCUCAACGUGGGAACUGCCUUUGAAACUGGCAAACUGGAGUGUGUGAGAGGAUAGUGGAAGUCCAGGUGUAGGAGUGAAAUCCGUAGAUAUCUGGAGGAACAUCAGUGGCGAAGGCGACUAUCUGGCACAUAACUGACGCUGAGGAGCGAAAGCGUGGGUAGCAAACAGGAUUAGAUACCCCGGUAGUC
rnacentral:rRNA from 1 species